rnacentral:rRNA from 1 species
UACGGAGGAUCCAAGCGUUAUCCGGAUUUAUUGGGUUUAAAGGGUGCGUAGGCGGCCUAUUAAGUCAGGGGUGAAAGACGGUAGCUUAACUAUCGCAGUGCCUUUGAUACUGAUGGGCUUGAAUGUACUUGAGGUAGGCGGAAUGUGACAAGUAGCGGUGAAAUGCAUAGAUAUGUCACAGAACACCAAUUGCGAAGGCAGCUUACUAAAGUAUGAUUGACGCUGAGGCACGGAAAGCGUGGGGAUCAAACAGG